rnacentral:rRNA from 1 species
CUUCUUUGCUGGCGACCGGCGCACGGGUGAGUAACACGUAUCAACCUGCCCUUUACUCGGGAUAGCCUUUCGAAAGAAAGAUUAAUACCCGAUAGCAUAAUGAUUCCGCAUGGUUUCAUUAUUAAAGGAUUCCGGUAAAGGAUGGGGAUGCGUUCCAUUAGGUUGUUGGUGAGGUAACGGCCCACCAAGCCUUCGAUGGAUAGGGGUUCUGAGAGGAAGGUCCCCCACAUUGGAACUGAGACACGGUCCAA